UUUAAAUUAAAAAUAUUUAUUUUCGGCGUAUAAAAUUAUUCUUUGUGUGUGAGUUCCAUUAAUAAUGUCACAAUUAGUAAAUUUUAAUGAAAUUCAGUAAUGAGAUCAUACUAUUAAUGACACGUGUUUCGAUCGAAACAUGUGUACUCUUUUGCAUCUCUUAGUGAUUCUUAGUCAGUCAUUUAUUUUCAGAAUUAAAUUGUUUAUUUACAUAAUUCGAACAAAUAGAAAUAAUAUUUUUAGAUAUAACUUUGUAAAUUUCUUCAAAGGUGUAAACGACAGUUCAGUUAAAAUGAUAGAAAUCAUGUACGCGUCCUUUAUGGCCACAUACUUAUGUACACGUCUGCAUAGAGUGUGACCAUAAAGGAAGAAAUAUAUGAAAAAGUAUGCAUAUUAUGAUAUCUUAACAAAUAAUGGAAAUUUUUCUUGCGCGUUAUCUAUGGGGAUUCAAUACAGGAUUGCAUUAUAUUUCAAAAUAGGAAUAGUUCUGGCUCAUUUACCGAUGUUCUCUAUGUAGCAGUGAUGCUCUUUCUGUCUGUUAUGCAUUACUUAUAAAAUACA
rnacentral:lncRNA from 1 species